UUGACCUCGGAUCAGGUAGGAAUACCCGCUGAACUUAAGCAUAUCAAUAAGCGGAGGAAAAGAAACCAACAGGGAUUGCCCCAGUAACGGCGAGUGAAGCGGCAACAGCUCAAAUUUGAAAUCUGGCCCCAGGCCCGAGUUGUAAUUUGCAGAGGAUGCUUUUGGCGCGGUGCCUUCCGAGUUCCCUGGAACGGGACGCCAUAGAGGGUGAGAGCCCCGUACGGUUGGACACCAAGCCUUUGUAAAGCUCCUUCGACGAGUCGAGUAGUUUGGGAAUGCUGCUCAAAAUGGGAGGUAUAUUUCUUCUAAAGCUAAAUAUAGGCCAGAGACCGAUAGCGCACAAGUAGAGUGAUCGAAAGAUGAAAAGCACUUUGAAAAGAGGGUUAAACAGCACGUGAAAUUGUUAAAAGGGAAGCGCUUGUGACCAGACUUGCGUCCGGUGAAUCACCCAGCUCUCGCGGCUGGGGCACUUCGCCGGCACAGGCCAGCAUCAGCUUGCCGUCGGGGACAAAAGCUUCAGGAACGUAGCUCUCUUCGGGGAGUGUUAUAGCCUGUUGCAUAAUACCCUUCGGCGGGCUG
rnacentral:rRNA from 1 species